UGGGGAAUAUUGCACAAUGGGGGAAACCCUGAUGCAGCAACGCCGCGUGAGCGACGAAGGCCUUCGGGUUGUAAAGCUCUGUCUUCGCUGACGAUAAUGACGGUAAGCGAGGAGGAAGCCACGGCUAACUACGUGCCAGCAGCCGCGGUAAUACGUAGGUGGCGAGCGUUGUCCGGAAUUACUGGGCGUAAAGGGUGCGUAGGCGGUUUUUUAAGUGGGAUGUGAAAUCCCUGGGCUCAACUCAGGAAUUGCAUUCCAAACUGGAAGACUAGAGUGCAGGAGAGGAAAGUGGAAUUCCCAGUGUAGCGGUGAAAUGCGUAGAGAUUGGGAGGAACACCAGUGGCGAAGGCGACUUUCUGGACUGUAACUGACGCUGAUGCACGAAAGCGUGGGGAGCAAACAGGAUUAGAUACCCUGGUA
rnacentral:rRNA from 1 species